AUUUGAGCAAUAGUCAUCUAAUGAACAAGAAUAUAAUCGCCAGCUAUGCACUAUCAAUCCAUAUUUGUAGUAUUACUGCUUGCGGUCACUUCCAUCCAUGACAGCUUGUGUCUUUGGCAAAAAUUGCAUAAAUAGCAUAUCAAUAAUUUGAUCUCAGGUAAUGAAUGUCCAGUUUGAUAUCAAUAAUUUGCAUGCCAAUUUCUUUUGCAUGUGCUUAUCCCAGUGAAACACAAUAAUAGAUGUACGUGGUAGUAGUAAACAAGUAUGUUAAUUCGUUUUUUUAUGUAGGCAGCAAAGUACUGCACCGAUGAUGCAACUUUGUACUCCAGUAUGAAAUUUUGCUCCCUUAAGAUGGGUCAAGGAGAACUGGCUUUGAUGGAUGCUCAACAUUGCAGAAUGCAGUGCUCUGGUUGGGCAAAGGCCUGCUACCUGGAAGAAGCUGCUCAGAUGUUACUCAAGGCCUAUGAAGAACCAUGUGAUGCGUUUCUUGUCUUCUUGAUGCUCUUAAACUGGAUCCAGCAGAUGUUGGGAUCGAGAAAGCAUUAUGGGAUGCCGUCAACCGCAUGGAGACAUCUCACCUCAUCUAGUCAGAAUUGCCUUUUGCCGAGGGGACACACUUGCCCAGGAGUGUCAUGACUUUUGCUAGUUCUCACCGGUGCGCAACAGGGCUGCUGGACAUCUAGUGUGGUUGAUAAAGGGGAGGCUCACUAGGUGCUCCUCCCAUGUGGCUGGAUGGAUGCCAUGUUGGCAGAAAGCGUGCAUGGUGGCGCGGUGCCGGUAUCUGUUGUGAUGGGAUCGAGCUAGAGUUAAAAACAGAGCAAUGUGAUAUCAAGAUCUCAUCGUACCGUUCUGUUUGUAUCGUCUAGAUUGCACUAAUGAUGGUACAUCGUCAGCUUUUUUUAGGACAAGGUUUUUUUAUGACAUGCAGAUGAAACUCUUUAUGACAUGCAGAUGAAACUCACUUGUGUAGGCAAAGUCUUGACCAACUAUAUAGACAAACGAAAAAACAUGUAUGUGCUGCAUCCACAGGGUCAUCACGAGGUCGUGA